GCCGGGGUAGCCUAGCCUGGUUUGGGCGCCAGACUCAUAAUCUGGAGGUCGCGGGCUCGAAUCCCGCCCCCGGCACCA
rnacentral:tRNA from 1 species